AGCCAGUUUGUGAUUGGUCCCCGCAAAAUUGUAACGGAAGUAGGAUAGAUAAGGCAGAUCGGGUUGAGUUUACCCAGUCUAGCACAAGCUUCUUCUA